CAUUUUUGGAGCUGCCCGGUGUUCCCGUGUCCGGAUGAACCCCUUGGCUUUGGGUUUUUCAGCAUCCCUGGGCACGGAGGGGCUCGCAGCUCCCCAGAAAGAUGAUGGAAAAACGUGUUUUGUUUUUGUUUUGUUUUUUUUCCACUGGGAUUUACAGCCGUAAGUCCAGCCUCAUAAUUCCCAUGCCCCUGAGGCUGGCGGGGACAGGGGGUGCUGAACGAUCCUGCACAAAACUUGGGGCAGAAGCACCGGGGUUGGGGCUGAUGCUCAUCCCGUUCCCAUCCCCUUUUCCCCCUCUCUCCCUGCCAGGGAGCGGCGUGGCUUCCCCCGGCGCGAUGCUCUGCAUGCGUUGCGGCCAGCACUUCACGGCGCAUGGCUCCUGGUGAGAGUUCGUGGGGAAUUUCCUGGUCCUCUCGGUACCGCAUGAACCCAGGAGUGGGAACAACCCACCCUGCAAACCCAGGAGAGCCCGGCCCUGAGAGCCACCAGCCCCGUCUGGGGGCCACCAGAAGCCCUCACCAUGGCUGAUCCCACGUGAACUUUCCUCCUCCUCCUCCUCCUCCUCCUCCUGCCUCUUGCUGGAGCAGCGCAGAGCACGCCUGGUGCCAGCACCGCGGCCACGGGGACACCGGGGACUGCCCUGGGGACAGGCAAGGACACCAUGGAGCAUCCCCGUGCUGGGCAGCACCGAACCUCGUGGCUCGUGGGCAGCCAAAGAGUCACAGAAUCACCGGGGCUGGAAGUGAACUUGAAAAUCAGCAAGCGCGACCGCCAACCUCCCGCGUCCCAGUGCUGCGCCACGGCCCCUGGUGCCACCAGAAGACCUCGUGCAUCUGCCUGGAGAAGACACCUCGGUGCUUUCCACGUGGCUCAGGCCUCCUUUGCUGUCCUCCUUUGCCAUCCUCCAGCUCGCUGCAGUGAGGUUCGAGCUCCUGGGAGGUGCCCACGGGGGAUCCACGGUGCUUGUGGCGUCCUGGGCUGGGGCGAAGAGGUUUGGGGUGCUGAGUCCCGUAGACCUUCUGGCUCCGAGCAGCUCUCCCGUACCACUGGAAGCCCAGGAACUGAAAGUGCUUCGUACCCAGUCCUGCUGACCCCAUCCUGUAAGGCAAAUUUGGGCACCCAGGGCAAUCCUAGAGCGGCACUGGGCGCAUCAGGGCUGAGGUGCCGCCGUGCCAGCGAUUCAAAGCGGGUCAGAAAGUGCCCUUGAGCACAGGAUUUGAGGCUCCUUUGCUCUUUUAGGGAGGAAAGGAGCCAAGCAGGGAGCCCUCUGAUGCUGGUGGGAGCAGCCUGAGCCCCUUCUCCUUCGGCCUGAUGCUGCUGGCAGCUUGGGGGGCUUGGGGAGCACCCCGUGUCCCAUGGGGAGCUGCAUGCGUCCGCCCCCAGCCCUCACCAGGCAGAAGCGGGUGGGAGAAGCCGUGCAGAGGCACCGAGCCAUUGGCAAUAAAUGCAAAAUGCUCUGGCCCUUGAGCUGCA
rnacentral:lncRNA from 1 species